GCCCGAAGCCGAUUAUCUAACCUUUUGGAAGAAGUCGUCGAAGGUGGAAUCAAUAACUGGGGUGAAGUCGUAACAAGGUAGCCGUAUCGGAAGGUGCGGCUGGAUCACCUCCUUUCUAAGGAGA
rnacentral:rRNA from 1 species